rnacentral:lncRNA from 1 species
AUGAGAAGGUCACACAGCCGCUUAGUUGCAGAGACGCAAGGCAGAUUCAGGCUCUUACCUCCAACUGCAGGCUUGCAACCCUCACCCGGCCCCCACACCCACCUCUGCCGCCGCAGAGCGCGGAGCAGCGUCGCAGUCCAGGAACCUCUCCUACAGGGGAUCCACAUACCAACAAGGGAUGAUCCGGGUUUCCUCACGUUGCAGCAACUGCUUAGCUCUUCCUUUGAUAGGAUGGACUCAUGGAUGGCAGAGCAGGGCACUCGUGUUGCAGAUGAAGAAAUUGAUGGGGAUUUGAUCAUAAGCCAGUUGGUGGUGCGUAGAGGCAUGAGCCCCAAACUCUGCAAGGAAUGGCAAGCCCACGAGCCCCCAGGGAAGGGCCGGUGUAGUGAGCGUCCCUUCGGUACCGGAAGCGUCUGCUGUGGGAGCAAGGAGACAGUGCAGGGUGUGUGUCUGCUUCUCUGCCGCCCAGCGGUUCAGAGAGCGCGAGCGGGCAGUCCUGUCCUGUCCGGCUCUUUGCGACCCCACGGACUAUGGUCCACCGGGCUCCUCUGUCCAUGGGAUUCUCAGGGCAGGAAUGCUGGAGUGGGCUGCCACUUUCUGCUCCAGGGGAUCUUCCCGACUCAGGGAUGGAACCUUCAUCUCCUGCCUGUGUCUCCUGCAGUGGUGGGUGGAUUCUUAACCACUUGAGCCACCUGGGACGCCAGCCAGCAGUUCAGAUGAGCCCGCGUNGCCGGCGUCCCCAGCCUCUCUGACCAACAGGCGCUUUGCUACAGGGAAAGGGGACCAAGCUGUGGACGUUUUUCCUCUGACGUUGAGGGUGUUCCAGAGCUUGAUGUGUCUGAACGCCAUGACCCUCUUUUGAGUCAAGGAUCUUUGAAAACUCGGGGCCACUCUGUUAGCUGGGGAGACUCGGCAAGCGGGCUGGACCUGAAACCCUUUUUCAAGACUUGGCUCCCUCCAUGACUCCGUGAAACCUCACCCCCAGCCCCCCACUCCCCCAGGAUGGGUCAGAGGCUCUCCCAGCCCCCGGUGCUCAUCUGAGUCCAGCUGUGCCCCUACCGUUCACUUCUUUGUCCCUUUUCUCAGCUGAUUAUGAGCUCCUGAGGGAUGGCACCGGACAUCGUAUUACAGUUCUGUGUCCUCAGGGUCUAACACUGUCUGAUACAUGGCAGGCGCUCAAUAAACGUUGAACUGAACUGUGGAAACCUCACAUGCUAGUGGCCUUGUGCAGGAGACGACUGCUUGCAAUUCCCAACAGAAAUGGAUUUUGUGUCUGUGAGACUCAUUCGCACAGAAUGAGAAUUCUCAUUCUUUUUUAUUAGUAAGGUGUCUGAAAUGAAAACUUCACAACUGUUUGCUAAUACAACUCCAUAAAAACAACCAAGAUCCCUUGUGCUUAACCUAAUUCCUGAUUGCCCUUUAAAACUCAAUAAGUGUGAACCAAGUGCAUUAUUCAAAUCAAACCACUCCAUGUGUUUCCUUCUGUUCCCGGUCGGCUAGGAAGCUCAAAAAUCAUCCUAGGCACACUUUUAAGAACAGUCUCCUCCCUGGUGAUGGGACGGUGUUCUCCCCUUUAUCUGUGAAGUUCCUGCUCUUGCUUUGCUGUUCAUUUAGACAUACAGGUGGGUAUUUUAAGGUAAGCAGACUCUGCCUUUCCGGAAGAAGUUAGCACGGGUGAUGCACAGGGUAACAGGAGACUCCCCAGAACUCUGUGUGGGAAAAACACUCAGGAAGAUAAGCAGUUUCCAUCAUACAGACUAAACCGAAAACCAGCUUGAUCUUUAUGGUGCCCAAAGUCUCGGCAAGGUCAUCAUGAAUGGAAACGAACGGUUGCAGAGCAGGCCCGGCCUUNNNNNNNNNNNNNNNNNNNNNNNNNNNNNNNNNNNNNNNNNNNNNNNNNNNNNNNNNNNNNNNNNNNNNNNNNNNNNNNNNNNNNNNNNNNNNNNNNNNAUCAUGAAUGGAAACGAACGGUUGCAGAGCAGGCCCGGCCUUAUCCAGGGCAGGCCUGUGUGUCUCUGUGACACGCGGUGGUCUCAGCCCUGGAGGUGGCUCAGGAAUGGGAUGAGACGACGCGGAGCUUUUCCAGGGUUUGGACAGUGACCUUCCUGAGGCUUUCCUCUUUCUCUUCCAAGUCCAUUCUCACCAAGCAACCACUUCCACUUUACAAGCAUCGUGGCCCUGGGACUGGGUCCCUGGGUGAGGGACGCUGGGGGAUGGUUUCCAUUCUAAACGGAAGUUGGCAUGAAGUGUAAGCAAGGGCCUCUGUGGGCUUAAUGAGUGGGAGUAAGUGGGAGGCGCCCUAGAGCACCUGCUCUUUCUGGACUUGCAAAGCUGAAGGCCAGGCGGGUGUGUGGUCUGCACCCUUGCCCCACACUGUGCUGGGUCCCUCCUCCAGCAGCCGGCCAGCCUCCUUCAGCUGGCUGCUCCUCUCACACGGCCACACGGUUCACAGGAAACACCGGCUCCCACGCCUGCAGCUGAGCUGCUCAGCGAGGACCCCGCCGGCUUGUUCCUGCAGUGAGACUACGGCUCCGGGCAGCAGCAGGCAGCCCCUGGGAAGAGAGUCGGAGGUCCCCAGGGUACUGUGAGGCGGUGGGGGAGAGGCGCAGAACCAUCUUGGGUCCCUCAGAAGCCCUGCUCCAAACAGCGGCCGUGAUGCAGCUUUUUAAAACAGCAGCCUCGUUCAUAAAAGCAAACCUGAGCCCUGGAAGUAUGACUAACCCAGAGGAUGGGCGAUACUCCACGCCACGGAGCAUCACACACUACAGAGAAGCA